GCCGGGAUGGCGGAACUGGUAGACGCGCCAGACUCAAAAUCUGGUGAGGGCGACCUCGUGGGAGUUCGAGCCUCCCUCCCGGCACCA
rnacentral:tRNA from 1 species